rnacentral:rRNA from 1 species
AUACAUUAGCAUGGGAUAAUGGAAUAGGACCCUGUCCUCCUAUUUUCAGUUGGUUUUGGCAGCGCGAGGACUAGGGUAAUGAUUAAUAGGGAUAGUUGGGGGCAUUAAUAUUUAAUUGUCAGAGGUGAAAUUCUUGGAUUUAUGAAAGAUUAACUUCUGCGAAAGCAUCUGCCAAGGAUGUUUUCAUUAAUCAAGAACGAAAGUUAGGGGAUCGAAGACGAUCAGAUACCGUCGUAGUCUUAACCAUAAACGAUGCCGACCAGCGAUUAGGAGACGUUGAAUACAAAACACCACCAUCGGCGCGGUCGUCCUUGGCGUCGGUCCUUCACGGGGCCGGCGCGAGGGCGGCUUAGCCCGGUGGCACCGGUGAA